GAAACCAAACGAACUUUUAAGACCUACAAAUUAUGUUAAUUUUGCUCUUGAAUGAGUUUCACAUAUCAUUGACUAAUUAGGCAAAAGUAGUAUUACAUUUCUAAUAUAAUAAAACAUGAUGAGUGGAGAUACUUGCAUGCAUUUCUCUAACAUACUAAUCAUUAGCACAUUCACAAACUAAAAAAACAUGAUUGGUAUUUAAGUUGAUCAUACUCCACCUCCACUAUCAGGGUGGGAGUAAAGAUUUCACCACUUCCA
rnacentral:lncRNA from 1 species